CCCUGAAGCCUGAACUCGGCAGGUACGAAGGGAGGCAGGAAGCCAGGAAGGAGGCUAGCAGAGUUCCCUGCAGCAGACCCUCUGCCCAGACCAUCCAGUACAGCCUUUGCCAGAGGCACAACAGGCAGCAGUCGAUCCCAAGAGCAGCCACAUUGUCCCAUAUUUACGCUUGCCUGUGGCUGGAUUUGGAAGGACCUUGCAAGAGGAUUUAGGACUUCUCCAGAAAGAAGAAGGCAAGCAAGUUACUGUUACCACAUAGUGAACAUGCUACAAUUCUGGCUCGUGCUACUGAAGAUAUGUGGAAGCAAAGAAAUGUAAACUGGACAUGUAGAAGCAACUGUUGGCAGCAAGUUAGUAUUCAGUGGUUGUGCCUGGCAACACAUCUUUAUCAGGAGGAAGAAAAAGAAAUAUUACAAUGUAGUCACUGAGCAAUGCAGUUCUCCUCCUGCAACUCAUCAGAAACGAGAGGACAAAAUAUUUGCAUUUACAUACUGUUAAAAAAGGAACAACUGAAUGCCUUUUGCUGCUGGACAAAGCAAACAGCAUAUUAAUGCAGAAGGCAAGCAAUAAAAGGAAAAUAAAUAAAUAAUACUGAGUUCUUACAAGAUAA